UUUUUUUUUGUUAAAGAACUCAGGAAACUUUAGAAUUGGUUUCUUGAGUUGGAUAAAUGAUUGAAAAUUACUAAUUAUUUAUUUUAAAUCUUUGUUUUUCAGUUGGCUGAAGGGUUGAAACUGACUCUUGAUACCAUAUUUGUACCGAACACAGGAAAGAAGAGUGGGAAAUUGAAGGCCUCCUAUAAACGAGAUUGUUUUAGUGUUGGCAGUAAUGUUGAUAUAGAUUUUUCUGGACCAACCAUCUAUGGCUGGGCUGUGUUGGCCUUCGAA
rnacentral:sRNA from 1 species